CCCGCUGAACUUAAGCAUAUCAAUAAGCGGAGGAAAAGAAACUAACAAGGAUUCCCCUAGUAACUGCGAGUGAAGCGGGAAAAGCUCAAAUUUAAAAUCAGGUGGUCUUUGGCCAUCCGAGUUGUAAUUUAGAGAAGUGUCUUCCGCGCUGGACCAUGCACAAGUCUCCUGGAAUGGAGCGUCAUAGAGGGUGAGAAUCCCGUCUUUGGCAUGGACACACCAGGGCUUCUGUGAUGCGCUCUCGAAGAGUCGAGUUGUUUGGGAAUGCAGCUCAAAAUGGGUGGUGAACUCCAUCUAAAGCUAAAUAUUGGCGAGAGACCGAUAGCGAACAAGUACCGUGAGGGAAAGAUGAAAAGCACUUUGGAAAGAGAGUGAAACAGUACGUGAAAUUGUUGAAAGGGAAACGCUUGAAGUCAGUCGCGUCGGCCGGGACUCAGCCUUGCCUCGGCUUGGUGUAUUUCUUGGCCCGACGGGUCAGCAUCAAUUUUGCCCCUUGGAUAAUGGCUAGGGAAAUGUGACACCUUUAUAGGUGUGUUAUAGUCUCUCGUCGCAUGCAAGGGUCAGGAUUGAGGAACUCAGCAUGCACCUUCGGGUGUCGGGGCUUUUGUCCACGAUACAUGCUUAGGAUGUUGGCGUAAUGGCUUUAAACGACCCGUCUUGAAACACGG
rnacentral:rRNA from 1 species